rnacentral:rRNA from 1 species
UGAGGGAUAUUGGUCAAUGGGCGCAAGCCUGAACCAGCGACGCCGCGUGGGUGAAGAAGGUCUUCGGAUCGUAAAGCCCUUUUCCCACUGAAGAGGAAGGACGGUAGGUGGGGAAGAAGUCUCGGCUAACUACGUGCCAGCAGCCGCGGUAAAACGUAGGAGACAAGCGUUAUCCGGAGUUACUGGGCGUAAAGGGCGUGCAGGUGGCGUCUUAAGUCUGUUGUGAAAGCGCCUGGCUUAACCGGGCGAGGCCAAUGGAGACUGAGAGGCUGGAGGACGGCGGAGGGGUGUGGAAUGCCGGGUGUAGUGGUGAAAUGCGUAGAGAUCCGGAGGAACACCGGAGGCGAAGGCGGCACUCUAAGCCGUACCUGACACUGAGACGCGACAGCACGGGGAGCAAACG